UCCCCUUCUCCUUGCCUUAAGAACGAAUCCUGGAGGCACAGCAGCUGUCUUGCCACCAUGAGGCGACAAGCACAAGGACAAAAUCCAACACGGUGAGGUUGGCAGAACAGGACAAAGAACCCGAGUCUUGGAUGACCCAGCCUGGCCUGCCCCCCAUUUCCCAUCACCUUGUGAUGUGAGAAAAAUACAUCUCAGUCCAUUGGAUCCACAGGAAAGAGCAGCUUCACGGCCUCGGGUGGAAAUUGCGGCUAUACUACACCACAUCAGAAUGUGCUGUUCUCAUUUAUUUUUUAAUACAAACCCAUCUUUGCAUGUGGGCCCUGGCAAAAAAUUGGUGGUUACGAAAUAUUGACGAAGGAGGUAACAUAGGAGGGUUCCAGCAAAAUAGAGCACCCGUUCCAUUUGUUAAGUGGACAUGUCAAACUGUGUGGAAGAGCCACAGGAAGGUCCGUCCAGCUGGCCUGUGCCUGCAGCCAGCUGAUGGUGUCCCUCGGUGCCAUCGCGCUCCUUCGAGAAGCAA